UACGUAGGUGGCGAGCGUUGUCCGGAUUUACUGGGCGUAAAGAGCGCGCAGGCGGUCGUUCAAGUCGCGUGUGAAAGCCCCCGGCUCAACUGGGGAGGGUCACGCGAUACUGAUCGACUCGAAGGCAGGAGAGGGAAGUGGAAUUCCCGGUGUAGUGGUGAAAUGCGUAGAUAUCGGGAGGAACACCAGUGGCGAAGGCGACUUCCUGGCCUGUUCUUGACGCCGAGGCGCGAAAGCUAGGGGAGCAAACGGG
rnacentral:rRNA from 1 species